AAGGACAAGAACAUAAGAAUUAUAAAUGUGUGUCUAGAGAAUCCAUUUAUACUGGGUGAUGGAAGAAGACACCAAUGAAGAAGUAACCUUGAAAUGGAAACCUGAGGAUAAGCAGUUAGUCAUGAGGAGUGAGAAAAAGUGUUCCAGACAGAGGGAGAAGUGUGAGUGUAGUCCCUGAGGUGACAUUUGAUGUGAACAAUGACCCCAGGUCCCCUGUAAGGGCCUAAUCUGGCUCUCAAAUAGCCACAGUAGCUUUGGCAGACAAAUACAAAUUCCAGUCCAGGAAAGAAGGAGGCCACCUUCUGAGCAGGGUCUCAUAUAAGAAAGAUUUUUCAUUUCAUCUGGGGUGAGAUAUGCCUAUUAAUUGAUUUAUGGAGGUCUCAUAGCAAUAUACAUGGGCCAGGAAUGAGGCUUUAUAUUCAUGGUAAAAAUUUAAACAUUUGGGACUGCCAUUUGGGAAGAUCUGCAGUGUAAAGGCCAAAGUCAAGACUGGAAUGUUGGCUCCCUCAUGUCCUCUUACAGUUUGGUAUCCUUGCUGCUGUAGGUCAAAUGAUUUUCCAUCACUCUAGCCUUUGGGAACUAAGGUGCCAGAUUCUCUGAAGAGAGCAUUGUCCCAAUAAAGGAAAAUCAUGAAGGCACUGGAUAUUUUAACUGUGGAACAUAAGAGAGAACAGAGAUGGAGUUGUUGGUGCAGAUUUCCAAGGAUGAAGUUGUCUGAGUGCAGCCAAAGCUUUCAGUCAAGAAACAAGGUGCCCCCUACUGAUGAGGAAAAGAUGACAGCACAGAGGAACUAUAUGAUCAAUUCAUCUGGAGCUGGAAUAACCAUGGAUGAAAUAAUUUUCCUCAGAAUGAAAUAAUAAAAAAUAUCCUCAAGCAAAGUUCUCCAAUACCUGAGAACAUUAUUCUCUGAAAAAUAGAGGAUAUUCAAUAAAAGUUCAGAUGGAGGGCUAAGACCAAGAGGAGAGAUUUCUUCUCUAAUUGUUAGAGGACAUUAGUUCAGUGAUUCAGAGACUUGUGGAGAAAGUAAAAGUAUAAAUCUUUAUUUUAAACACCUUUAAAAAUCUGAAAAUAGUUUGGAAAAGUAUUUAUAACUUUUAAGAAAGCCAAGUUGGAAGCAUUCCAGUCUCAUAUGACUGCAGCUCAAAAUAUUCCUAGGUGCUGUCUAGCACCAUCAUAAAGUAUACUUAUGAGGCAAAUAAAGCAUAUAAUUUAAAUCUUAAACAGGAGAAACAAGGCAAGACUCUGUUCUCAUUCUUUGGAAAAGAGCAUUAUUAUUAUACCACAUCAGAAGAUGAGCCCUCUAUAGCACACUUCAUGUUCUCCUGCUGUGUCUUUUCUCCUUACAAUUCCUUCCUCUUCCUUUAUGUUUGAUCCCUUUCCUCUAGAAAUGAUAAGGGACAUAAAUGGUUCAAUAUUUGCGGAAGAAGAAGUGAGAAAGUAUUUCCUUCUCCCCCUUUGCACUAAGUUCUCAUCAAUUACUUUUGGCAAUUUGGUAGCCAGUUUUGAAAAUAACCAGCUGUAUGCUCACUUAGAUAAAUUAAUGCUUCUGUGCCUCACUUUCCUUA
rnacentral:lncRNA from 1 species